AUGCCACAUCUCCAACAACUCAUCACCGGUCCGAUUAUUGUAUAUGGAGGAGAUAUGUUUUCUGCAAGCAAUCGUCACAGCUUGAUGCUUCCACAUCGUUUUCACCACAACAGCAAACUUAUUCUCAUCCUUCUCUAUCUACCGGUCUGUGGGGACGAACGAUUCUUGAUGGAAGAGAUGACAGAGUUACCUAACAUUACCAACUUGGGACUGAUCGUAUUGGCCUGUGGACAUUCCUUUGGAGCCGGCUCAUUCCAUGUUCUCAAGAUGUCUAGUGGUAUAACAGAGCUGGCACUUCAACUUGACACUCGGAGCGACUGUAAGGCAUUUGCUGCGUGCCAAUCAGGUUGCAUUUGUGAUGAGCCAUCAAACUGGGAAACCGAGGACCUCGUGCUACCUUGCCUCAAAGUUUUGGCAAUCAAUGACCUGAGAGGAACUGAACGUGAACUCGCUCUUGUGAAAAGGCUAUUCAAGUGGGCAACAAUGCUAGAAAGGGUGGCAGUAAUUUUCCAUGACUCGGUCGAUGAAAGCAACUGUGAAGAGUUGCGCCGGUUGUUACUAAGCUUCUCUAGGCCAGCAAUAUGCAUGAAAUUCUCGCAUGGAGAAUGUUUGUCAUUUGACUAG
rnacentral:rRNA from 1 species